rnacentral:rRNA from 1 species
GGCAACGGGUGAGUAAUACAUAGGUAACUACCCUUAAGACGAGGAUAGCCAUUGGAAACGAUGGAUAAAACUGGAUAGGAUAUAGAGGAAGAAUCUUUUAUAUUUAAAAGAGAGAUCUGCUUAAGGAGGGGCCUGUGGCGCAUUAGCUAGUUGGUGGGGUAAGGGCCUACCAAGGCGAUGAUGCGUAGCCGGACUGAGAGGUUGAACGGCCACAAUGGAACUGAGAACGGUCCAUACUCCUACGGGAGGCAGCAG